GAUGAACGCUGGCGGCGUGCCUAAUACAUGCAAGUCGAGCGAACGGACGAGAAGCUUGCUUCUCUGAUGUUAGCGGCGGACGGGUGAGUAACACGUGGAUAACCUACCUAUCAGACUGGGAUAACUUCGGGAAACCGGAGCUAAUACCGGAUAAUAUUUUGAACCGCAUGGUUCAAAAGUGAAAGACGGUCUUGCUGUCUCUUAUAGAUGGAUCCGCGCUGCAUUAGCUAGUUGGUAAGGUAACGGCCUACCAAGGCAACGAUGCAUAGCCGACCUGAGAGGGUGAUCGGCCACACUGGAACUGAGACACGGUCCAGACUCCUACGGGAGGCAGCAGUAGGGAAUCUUCCGCAAUGGGCGAAAGCAUGACGGAGCAACGCCGCGUGAGUGAUGACGGUGUUCGGAUCGUAAAACUCUGUUAUUAGGGAAAAACAUAUGUGUAAGUAACUGUGCACAUCUUGACGGUACCUAAUCAGAAAGCCACGGCUAACUACGUG
rnacentral:rRNA from 1 species